rnacentral:lncRNA from 1 species
GUCAGAGGAGACUGAGGGAAUUCAGAGUGGAAAAUGGGAGGUCAGUCCUUCAGAAGGAUCUGAAGAGUUGAGAUCUAUCCUGAGGCAAGGACUGGCUGUAGCAGCAGGUCCUGGGCGUCACCUGCAGCAAUCAAAGCGAGGAGCAGGAGGUUUGGAGGUGCUGCCCAGCCUGGGGCAGCUCCCCUGGGAGGUCAAUCAAAAGGGGACUGAAGAGGGUUCCUGCCUUCCGAGUUAAGGAGAAGAAAUGCAGGGAAAGCAAACCUGGAAACAACAAAGUCCUGGAAAUGAUCCUUAUAAGCACAACUUAUCCUAUUGAGAUUUCUACAUGCAUCUUUUACAGAAAAUCAUUGAAAUCUAACACCAGCUAAAAAAAAUAAAAUAAUAAAGGUCUAAGGAGAUUAUGAAUAA